AGAUUGAACGCUGGCGGCAUGCCUUACACAUGCAAGUCGAACGGCAGCACGGGGGCAACCCUGGUGGCGAGUGGCGAACGGGUGAGUAAUACAUCGGAACGUGUCCUUUCGUGGGGGAUAACCAGUCGAAAGACUGGCUAAUCCCGCAUGAGAUCUCACGAUGAAAGCGAGGGACCCGAGGGUAACUUCGGGCCUCGCGCGAUUGGAGCGGCCGAUGUCGGAUUAGCUAGUUGGCGGGGUAAAGCCCACCAAGGCGACGAUCCGUAGCUGGUUUGAGAGAACGACCAGCCCACACGUGGGACUGACGACACCGGCCCAGCCUCCGUACGGGAGGCGAGCAGGUGGGUAAUUUUGGACAAGUGGGGCG
rnacentral:rRNA from 1 species